ACUAUAUCUAGUGUUCAAGGUUCCUUCGAUUCGUCAGGAUCGCGGGCGAAGAUGGGAAUACGGUGCGUUUCGCCAUGACGGCGCAACAAGGCCGGAGCUGCCCCCGCAACUGUAAGCGGCGAGCAACUGUCCGAUUUCAGGUCACUGAGGCAUGAUGCCUCGGGAAGGCUGGGGCAGGGUGCUUCGACCCGCGAGCCAGGAGACCUGCCUUGAACUAGAUGUCCACG
rnacentral:ncRNA from 17 species